GUGGUGGUUCAAUGGUAGAAUUCUCGCCUCCCACGUGGGAGACCCGGGUUCAAAUCCCAGCCAACACA
rnacentral:tRNA from 1 species